CAGCAUCAACCGGGGGUGUGAAGAAGUUUCUGAGCAGCCCUGGACUCCACAGGUGUCAAGGUCAGAAACGGGGCAAGGACUGAAGGAGAGGAGAGCUCAGGUUGACUGAGGCUCCAGGGUUCCCCGACACCCCGAUGAACUUGCCUGACUCUGCACUGGGUCGAGGACUCUUCCAGGCAACCUCCCUUCUCUGUUCAUCCCUUGGAUUCAGACUUGCAUCAAGAUUUGCUCUUCUCCCAGCCUUUCUGGCUCCUUCGCCAUGUCUUCUCACAAGGGUUACUCCUAACAAAUUCCUGGCAUUAUCAUGCUGUACUGGGUCUGCUCCCCACAAACACUGAAACACCAAUGGCAUCAGGAAUGGCCCAAGAAUUCAGGCAGAAAGAUGGGGAUUGGGGAAGAGCUCACACACUGCCUGGCAGACCAGGAGUCCACCGACCACGCUGGAAGGUGGGACACAAAGGGCGGCUGAAUUGCUGCAGGUGUUGCUGGAGAGAAGCCAAUCGGCGUCGCCGCGGUUCCCGGCUUGUCGGUGCCACGGAUCCACCGGAACUUAGAUUCUCGAGACCCCAGGAAUGCGAGUCGAAAUACCGCAAAAUACUCCUCCUGCUGCUGUCGGUCCCGUGA
rnacentral:lncRNA from 1 species